rfam:Pteropus vampyrus cont1.114047, whole genome shotgun sequence.
ACAGCUUUGGACAAAAGUCUAUAGCCAGUGCAUUUGAAACUCCCCUUGCACAAGGGCUGACUGUAGCUGGGGGAAGACAGUUUACUCAUUUGCUCUCUCCUUUCAUGCAGUCAGCUGGCCCUCUUCUCAGGUGUAGAUCACCUAUUAUCACUUCACCUGUUUUGAUUCUCUGAUGAGGAAAGUCCCAGGACUUACCAGCUGGGAUAGGCCUCAUUUACAAGACAGCUCU